UUCCAGCCAGCCUCCUUUGAUUUACCUAAUGGAAAUCAUAUUUCACCAUAGCAAGCAAUAAUUUUUCCCAAGACAACAGGGUGUAGACUCAAAUGAGAAAUGCACGUAUUCUUCUUACCAGCUUUCUAAGGCCCUCUCAUCUUUUGUCUUCAGCUACUCUUGUGAUCCAAGUUAUCUUGAGUGGAUUUCUUCACCCCGAGCAUGAGUCGCAAGUCCCUUUCCCUGGGGAAGUAGCCCUGCAUAAUGCAGAGAUUUGAGGCCCAGAACUUUUUCCUUCUCUUCCCUGCAUCCUGGCAUCUUUAAAAGUAGAUGAAUCUAUUCUCUGCAGAAAGUUAGGGGUGUGCCUCUGACUGUGCCAGGCAAGAGCAUUCUUGGAGAGCACAGAAUGGCAUUCAGGAGGAGUCACCAAUCCGACCUUCUCCUACAUCACUCCACGUCCCAUCCAUCCUGCAGAAGGACGGCAGGCUUCUCCUGCCUGCCCAACAUCAGUGCCUGUUUCGUCACGUCUGAGCCAAAAUGCUUCAAUAAGUCAUUGCCAUCUGUGGGUGGAAUCUACUGAGGGGAAGUGGGGGACCUGGGAGAGGGGAAGGGGUGUAGUUGUUACUAUGAGAGGCAUAUCCCAUAGGUGUUUGACUUGUAAUAGGUCUGUGUCCAAGAUCCAGAUCCCCGUGCCUGUAAGUCCCUGUGCCAAGAGCCCACGUGGAAGGAAAGCUCAGUUUUGUCUUCAUUCUUCCCGGAUCCAUUCAUAUAGAGACUUAGAUGGGCAGGAACUGCGUGGUCUUUUCCACUCUGCAUGUAUUUUCCAGCAUAAUCAGAUGUAGGAGGAGAACAUAUCUCAUCAAAUAAAGAAGUCGGCUUGUCACAGAAACUUUUGUAGGAGGGGGAAAGACUCAGAAAAGCCACAGGAAGGUAGACAAACCCCCAAGUUUA